UGGGGAAUUUUGGACAAUGGGCGCAAGCCUGAUCCAGCCAUGCCGCGUGCGGGAAGAAGGCCUUCGGGUUGUAAACCGCUUUUGUCAGGGAAGAAAUCUUCUGAGUUAAUACCUCGGGAGGAUGACGGUACCUGAAGAAUAAGCACCGGCUAACUACGUGCCAGCAGCCGCGGUAAUACGUAGGGUGCAAGCGUUAAUCGGAAUUACUGGGCGUAAAGCGUGCGCAGGCGGUUUUGUAAGACAGAGGUGAAAUCCCCGGGCUCAACCUGGGAACUGCCUUUGUGACUGCAAGGCUUGAGUGCGGCAGAGGGGGGAUGGAAUUCCGCGUGUAGCAGUGAAAUGCGUAGAUAUGCGGAGGAACACCGAUGGCGAAGGCAAUCCCCUGGGCCUGCACUGACGCUCAUGCACGAAAGCGUGGGGAGCAAACAGGAUUAGAUACCCUGGUAGUCCACGCCCUAAACGAUGUCAACUGGUUGUUGGGAAGGUUCCUUCUCAGUAACGUAGCUAACGCGUGAAGUUGA
rnacentral:rRNA from 1 species